AUGGACGUUGAGAGCUCCGCGGCGCAUGAGGUCUCCGUCGACUGGCGGGGCCGCCCCUGCGAGCCGGGCCGGCACGGCGGCAUGCGCGCCGCCGUCUUCGUCCUAGGCAUCCAGGCGUUCGAGAUCAUGGCGAUCGCGGCGGUGGGGAACAACCUCAUCACGUACGUGUUCGGGGAGAUGCACUUCCCGCUGUCGGAGGCGGCCAACGUGGUGACCAACUUCGUGGGCACCAUCUUCCUCCUCUCCCUCCUCGGCGGCUUCCUCUCCGACUCCUACCUCGGCUGCUUCUGGACCAUGCUCACCUUCGGCUUCGUCGAGCUAUCGGGCUUCAUACUACUGUCAGUGCAAGCACACCUUCCGCAGCUGAAGCCGCCGCCGUGCAACAUGGCGUCCAUGGACGGCAGCUGCGAGCAGGCCAGGGGCUUCAAGUCCAGCAUCUUCUUCGUCGCGCUCUACCUGGUGGCGCUCGGCAGCGGCUGCCUCAAGCCCAACAUGAUCGCGCACGGCGGCGACCAGUUCUCCGGCUCCGACAAUGCCAAGAGUCUCUCCACCUACUUCAACUCCGCCUACUUCAGCUUCUGCCUCGGCGAGCUCGUCGCGCUCACAGCGCUCGUCUGGGUGCAGACGCACUCCGGGAUGGACGUCGGCUUCGGCAUCUCCGCCGCCGCCAUGGCCGCCGGCCUCAUCAGCCUGGUGUCCGGCGCGGCCUUCUACCGGAACAAACCUCCUCAGGGCAGCAUCUUCACUCCUAUUGCAAGGGUGUUCGUCGCCGCCUUCACCAAGAGGAAGCAAAUCUGCCCUACCAAUACUGGCAACGCCGGAGUUGGCGAGCCGGCACGCCUCGCCGGCAGCUUCCGCCACGGCAACAAAUUCAGGUUCUUGGACAAGGCGUGCGUCAGGGACGCGGCGCAGCAGCAGGGGGGCAACACGAAGCCGGAGAGCCCAUGGCGGCUGUGCACGGUGUCCGAGGUGCAGCAGGCCAAGACCCUCCUCGCCGUGACGCCCAUCUUCGCCUGCACCAUCGUGUUCAACACCGUGCUGGCGCAGCUGCAGACCUUCUCGGUGCAGCAGGGCAGCGCCAUGGACACCGUCCUCGGGGGCGCCUUCCGCGUCCCGCCGGCGUCGCUGCAGGCCAUCCCCUACGCCAUGCUCCUCCUGCUCGUCCCGGCGUACGAGCUCCUCCUCGUCCCGUUCAUGAAGAGGCUCACCGGGACGCGCUCCGGGAUCACCCCGUUGCAGCGCAUCGGGGUCGGCCUCGGCACCGUGGCCUUCUCCAUGGUCGCCGCCGCCACCGUCGAGCGCCGGCGCCGCGACCUGUCGGCGUCCGGGGGGCGGAUGUCCGUGCUGUGGAUCGUGCCGCAGUUCCUCGUGUUCGGGGUGUCGGAGAUGUUCACCGCCGUGGGGCUCAUCGAGUUCUUCUACAAGCAGGCCUGCGCCGGCAUGCAGUCCUUCCUCACCGCGCUCACCUACUGCUCCUACGCCUUCGGCUUCUACCUCAGCUCCGUGCUGGUGACCACGGUGAACAGGGUCACGGCGAGGCACGGCGGCGCCGGCGGCUGGCUCGGCGACAACGACCUCGACAAGGACAGGCUGGACCUCUUCUACUGGAUGCUCGCUGCGCUCAGCGUGCUCAACUUCUUCUGCUACCUGGUAUGUGCAAGGUGGUACAACUCUGGUGCCGAUGGCUCUGAUGCUGCCUCGGCUCAGAUUGCAGCAGAGGGUGAUGCCAAGGAGAUCAGCUGA
rnacentral:rRNA from 1 species